rnacentral:lncRNA from 1 species
AAUCAACAACAACUGCAGUUCCUUCAACUGUAACAACUAAAGGUGUACCAUCCUGUAUCGAUGAUAAUCGUAUUACCUGCGAUCAAACUUCAUGCACAACAGACUUGAAAAUGUUUUGCCCGGUUACUUGUAAUAUUUGUAGUAAGUAUUUUUACAUAACAGAUUCACGUUCAGUUUUCAUGAUUAUUAUAGCUCGAUGUACAACCAAUAUUUGGUGAUUUAAGGAAGUUCGCUUGUCAUUUUUGGGAAUUUAUUUCAGAUUUUGGGAAUCCUCUGGUUUUAUUCAUUUGAAAACAAAACAUAAUUGCCCAUUUGCCCCCAUUUUUCUUUAUAUAAAUCUUUUACAUGUAUAAUUAUAGGCCAUCCGUAAAUAAAGUCAUCAUAGAUACCAGAACUAAUUUUAGUAUAUACUCCAGAAGUGUGUUUCGUCUACAAAAGACUCAUCAGUGACGCUCGAAUCCAAAAAAGCUAAUAAGGUCAAAUAAAGUACGAAGUCGAAGAGCAUUGAGGACCAAAAUUCCUAAAAGUUUUGCUAAAUACAGCUUAGGUAAUAUAUGUCUUUGGUAGAAAAGACUUAGUAUUUCAAAUAAUUCAAAAAUUUGAAAACAGUAAAUUUAUAAAUAUAUAACCUUAUGAAUGACAAUUCAUGUCAGCACAAAAAGUGCUGACUACUGGGCUUGUGAUACCCUCGGGGGGAAAUCUCCAUCAGCAGUGGCAUUGAGCCAGUGGUUGUAAAGAAACUUAUUAUAGACACCAGGAAUUAAUUUAGUAUAUAUGCCAGACGCGCGUUUCGUCUACAAAAGACUCAUCAGUGAUGCUCGAAUCUAAAAAAGUUAAACAGGCAAAAUAAAGUACGAAGUCGAAGAGCAUUUAGGACCAAAUUUCCUAAACGUUUUGCCAAAAACAGCUGAGGUAAUCUAUGCCUGAGGUAGUAAAGGUUUAGUUUUUCAAAAAUUUCAAACAUUUGAAUACAGUAAAUUUAUAAACAUAACCAUAUUAAUGACAAUUCAUGUCAUGCCUUGCAACAUGCCAUCUACGGACCCCUCCAAGGCUUGUUGCAAGGGUUCUUAACAUGCAAAGAGCAUGGCACUCUCUGUACAAGAGGCAUUGGAUUUAACGUUCCAUUUUGACCGGACGUGACUGCGAACCUGAUACAUCCCGCACAACAAACGGACGCCCCACUUUGUCAAGCGUCUUACUGUCGGUAGGGAGACGACCAAGUGACCAUAUUCUGUUUCCAACGUCAUCCUUGGAGGAUAUUUUCUACAAGAAAACCUCACAGACAGUUCGCUAGUACCUUAUAAUAUCAUUUCAGAGAUCCAUAUACAUGUAUAUAUAUGUUAAGACUUUUCAAAAAAAUAAUGUGUCGGUGGCACUUUAUGAGAUAUCUAUUUUCUAGUAUAGUCAAAAAGAUGCGCCCUUUGCAUAUCGUAGGUCUCAUGAGUUUAGCAAUAACAGAUUGCUCUGGUUUAUUUUAUCCAGUUAUCAGCAUUUCGGGUUUGACAUGAAUAUCAAUUAGAUGGUCAUUUAAAAAGUUUCCUGUAACAAAACAUUGAAUUUUUGGAAAGUCUAAGUAUUUUCUUAUCCCAGGAGUACAUUACCUUAGCGUAUUUGGCACAACUUUUUGGAAUUUUGUUCUUGUUUUGCUUGAUAACAAUUUUGAUCUGAGUGUCACUAAUGAGUCUUAUGUAGACAAAACUAGCGUCUGGCGUAUUGAAUUAUAAUACUAGUACUGUUGUUAAGAAUAAUUUAAAAAAAAAAAAAUACUGGACAAAUUGACAUGUUUUAGAGAUAAGAAACUAGAAUUCUAACUUCAAUGUUAUAACAGCUGCAUAUAAAGUUAUAAAAAAAAGUGAUAUAAAAAAUACCGAACUCAGAGUACAAUCUAGUCGGAAAGUCCAUAAUCACAUGGCAAAAUCAAAUGACAAAACACAUCAAAAACGAAUGGACACAGUAAUAUUUUAGUUGCUUGAGAAAGGAUUAGGGUAAUUCUAUAAAGACGUACUUGCUAUCAACUGCAAAGAACGAACUUAUAAUAUAUAUAAAUUAAGGAGUACAAGAAGACGAUCUGCUUGCCAUUUUACAGAAACACUCACAAGCUUUAAACAUGUUAAAAUUCUGCAAAAUACUUGAGAAAUUAAGUUUCGAUACUAAUGCAACAACCUUUGUAAUCAUAAACACUGUCAGAACAAGUUUGGUUAAAAUUACCUUCACACGUUAUUAAGGCAUAUUGAAACAAUCAUUUCUACUUUGCGAACAGGUCUGUUGUAAUAAACAAACGCAUAUAUGUACAACAUAAGGUGAAAUACUAAUAGAGUUUCAGUUCUUUAUCCUACAUAGAUCUUUAGAUGUCGUCCCUAAAAUAAUAAUUAUUCAAUCUCUUCAACAGAGGGAACCACAUUAGAAGCGACAACAGUUGGACAGACGACAACAGUAGAUCCUAGAUUCUCAGCAUGCAAAGGUCCUAUUACAAAAAGUGAGGAGAAUUUAUAUAUUUUUACAUCCAACGUUGGUUCUUUUUACAUCCACCAAAUUGAUAGAAAAAAAAAAUGUGCUCUGUUGUUGGGUUGUUGUCUCUUUGACACAUUUCCGUUCCCAACCAAUAGAACAAAGUAAAAUCACAAAAAUUGCUUCGAAGAAAUUUUGAAACAAAAAGUCAAAUAACAAAACAAAGAGCUCAAAUACAUCAAACGAAUGAAUAAAACCGUCAUAUUCAUGACUUGAUACAGACAUUUUCUUGCAAAGAAAAUUGUGGCUUGAACCGUGUUUCAUAGUAGGUAGCUUAACCUUUCUCAUGUAUGGCAGUCGGAUAAAAAAAAAUCCAUUUUAUAUUGACAACUAUGUGUAAAUAAAACAAACCGACAUCAUACGUAAAAAAUGUCAAAAAUAGAGGUACAGUAGGCAACGUUGCGUCAUAAUCUGAACACUUCAAAAACAAACAAACAUGUAACAAAGAAACACAAUAAUGAGGUUUAAUUUCAACUUCCAGUCUCUUUAAAAAUCUGUUUGAAUAUAUUUUUUUAAGUUCGCAAUGCUGCUACAAUAAAGUUUACUUUUUGGUGUAACUUACUUUCCUAAUGACACUAUAUUUGAUUUUUAACAGAUACUGGAGAGUUUUACUUGAUGCGUAACAAUGGUUUCCUGAGUUUUAUGUCAACUUUUAAACUACAUUUAUCAUCGUCUAAAGUUAAAUGGUUAGUUAUAUACAACCCUGAUAUCGGACUAUGUCACAACAUAUCGAUCUUUAAUACUU